AAAGACUUAGUCCUAACCUUACCGUUAGCUUUUGCUAGACAUAUACAUGCAAGUAUCUGCAUUCCAGUGUAAAUGCCCUAAAGCCUCUUACCAAGACAAUAGGAGCAGGCAUCAGGCUCACUAACAAAUUCUCGUAGCCCAGGACGCCUUGCCCAGCCACACCCCCACGGGUACUCAGCAGUAAUUGACAUUAAGCAAUAAGCGCAAGCUUGACUUAGUUAAAGCUAUCACCCAGGGCCGGUAAAUCUUGUGCCAGCCACCGCGGUCACACAAGAGGCCCAAGCUAACCGUACACGGCGUAAAGAGUGGAACUCCAUUAUCGUUCUAACUAGGAUUGAAGCGCAACUAAGCUGUCAUAGGCCCAUGGUGCCCUUAAGCUCAACCUAAAGACGAUCCUAGCUAACCUGACUGACUAAUCUCCACGAAAGCCAGGGCACAAACUGGGAUUAGAUACCCCACUAUGCCUGGCCCUAAAUCUAGAUGUUUCACUUCACUAAACAUCCGCCCGAGAACUACGAGCACAAACGCUUAAAACUCUAAGGACUUGGCGGUGCCCCAAACCCACCUAGAGGAGCCUGUCCUAUAAACGAUAACCCACGUUGCACCCGACCGCUCCUUGCCCAGGCAGCCUACAUACCGCCGUCGCCAGCUCACCUCACACUGAGAGACCCACAGUGAGCGUAAUAGCCCCCCGCUAGCAAGACAGGUCAAGGUAUAGCCAAUGGACCGGAAGAGAUGGGCUACAUUUUCUAUCUUAGGAAAUCGACGGAAGGGACCAUGAAAUUGUUCCCAGAAGGCGGAUUUAGCAGUAAAGCGGGGCAAUGAGACCCUCUUUAAACUGGCCCUGGGGCACGUACAUACCGCCCGUCACCCUCCUCAUGAGCUGCCAAUCUUUACAUUCAUAAUACGAUCACUAGCCAAAGAUGAGGUAAGUCGUAACAAGGUAAGUGUACCGGAAGGUGCACUUAGCAUAU
rnacentral:ncRNA from 1 species